rnacentral:rRNA from 1 species
GAUGAACGCUGGCGGCGUGCCUAAUACAUGCAAGUCGAGCGAACAGAUGAGGAGCUUGCUCCUCUGACGUUAGCGGCGGACGGGUGAGUAACACGUGGAUAACCUACCUAUAAGACUGGGAUAACUUCGGGAAACCGGAGCUAAUACCGGAUAAUAUAUUGAACCGCAUGGUUCAAUAGUGAAAGACGGUUUUGCUGUCACUUAUAGAUGGAUCCGCGCCGCAUUAGCUAGUUGGUAAGGUAACGGCUUACCAAGGCAACGAUGCGUAGCCGACCUGAGAGGGUGGUCGGCCACACUGGAACUGAGACGCGGUCCAGACUCCUACGGGAGGCAGCAGUAGGGAAUCUUACGCAAUGGGCGAAAGCCUGACGGAGCAACGCCGCGUGAGUGAUGAAGGUCUUCGGAUCGUAAAACUCUGUUAUUAGGGAAGAACAAAUGUGUAAGUAACUAUGCACGUCUUGACGGUACCUAAUCAGAAAGCCACGGCUAACUACGUG